rnacentral:rRNA from 1 species
GAUGAACACUGGCGGCGUGCCUAAUACAUGCAAGUCGAGCGAACGGACGAGAAGCUUGCUUCUCUGAUGUUAGCGGCGGACGGGUGAGUAACACGUGGAUAACCUACCUAUAAGACUGGGAUAACUUCGGGAAACCGGAGCUAAUACCGGAUGAUAUUUUGAACCGCAUGGUUCAAAAGUGAAAGACGGUCUUGCUGUCACUUAUAGAUGGAUCCGCGCUGCAUUAGCUAGUUGGUAAGGUAACGGCUUACCAAGGUAACGAUGCAUAGCCGACCUGAGAGGGUGAUCGGCCACACUGGAACUGAGACACGGUCCAGACUCCUACGGGAGGCAGCAGUAGGGAAUCUUCCGCAAUGGGCGAAAGCCUGACGGAGCAACGCCGCGUGAGUGAUGAAGGUCUUCGGAUCGUAAAACUCUGUUAUUAGGGAAGAACAUAUGUGUAAGUAACUGUGCACAUCUUGACGGUACCUAAUCAGAAAGCCACGGCUAACUACGUG